rfam:Macrostomum lignano unitig_36245, whole genome shotgun sequence.
CCCCAGUGGCGCGCAAUGGAUAGCGCGUCGGACUUCUAAUCCGGAGGUUGAGGGUUAGAGUCCCUCCUGGGGUA